UCCCUAGAGGGGCAUUUCGCGGACUGUUAAUCCGUAGGUCCCUGGUUCGAGCCCAGGUCGGGGAGCCA
rnacentral:tRNA from 1 species